AGUUCCUAGAAGGUUAUUCUAGCUCAACGCCUGUUAGGUUGCUGUUGUCAAGGAGUUUACAGCUGUACUCUGAGAAGAUAAUCUACAAUCAGUCAUCUCAUCUCUAAGAUUGCUGGAGCCUGUCCCAAGAAAGGAUUCCUAGUGGGCUAUUUCCUGUUCACAUUACUGUCUUUCUCAUGAGAAUCCACUCUUAAACACCAUGCCUCCUUGUAGGCUCUGACAGAUGGUGGCAUCCUACUAGACUCUGACUGAGCAAAGAGCUGAUGUUCAUGAGAAGGGGCUAACGUAUUCCAUACCAAAGAAAAACACAGGCCAACAGAAGACAGCUAUUCAUUGCCAGCAAUGGGAAGAGGGAAAAACACGCAGUAACUCCUCUACUAUCUUUUUAACUGUCUUCAGGCGAGAAUGAAAGCAGGUGCUGCAAUUAUGUUUCAAGUAACAUGAAGCAUGUAAAUAUGAUGGAGAUGUUCUCCUCUUCUUGCUUUUUGCUUUGUCAUGUGAAGCCUAGGAGGUAAUAAUGUGGUGAAUGCCAAAUGUAGUAAGCAAGAGAUCCAGAAGAAUGAAAAUGAGCUAAAGGGUUAGGGCAUUAGUAUGACUAGGAGGGAGAAGGAAGAACCCAUGGCCCCCGGAGGUGGCUCUAUUUCCAGCUGCUCCAUGGGUUUAACAUCCUACUGCUCCGCAGUAGUACCUUAGCUUCUCUAGCUAAGGUAGUCUGAGCACCUCUUGGAAUACUUCUGUCCUUCCUGUUGGACUUUUUGGUAGGAUAUCUCAGCCUGGACCUUGUCUAGCCUGGACCUUGUCUAGCCUGGUCAGGUAUAGCUGGGCACCAGCAGUUAGUGCUCCCAGAUUGAGUUCAAAUGCCUUGCUGAUAGAGACAUGGAGCUGAGAUCUGCUUUCCUGUAAGAACAUGGAUUCUUCAGAGGCCUGUUGACAGGUAGAUAGUUUCACAGUUUCAAAUCUGUUACUGAUCCAUCUUAUAUCUCAGUGGAAAAACAGCAUACUUUUUUUUCCUGUGGCUGAAAUGUGCUCCUAUGUUCCUGUCUAUAUAGACUCUCCAGUUCUUGAAUGUAUUUCUUGAGUAUGGUUACACUGGUAGCAGUAAGAGUUGAAUCCAUAUCUUUCCAACAGAUAUAGAAUCAUUCCAGUAUCAUGUACAUAGCGGAGCUGAUAUUUGGGCAAACAACUGGAGCAAUCAGUUGGCACAGCUAGUGAGUUAUAAAUUAGACAAGCAUAAGGUAGGCAGGACUUGCACCUCACGUCUGCCAGUGGCUUCUUUGUGUAAUGCCAGUUCGGCUGCAUGAAUCUCCUAUUUAGCCUCAAAAAGAAAUACUUCAUUUUUUUGACUCUUCAGUUGUGCCCCCCUUUGCCAAGAUUACAAAUUAGAACAAGCUUGUGGUAAUUAAGAAUGUGUUGUGGUAUUUAUUUUUUUCUAAAGACCAGACUUAAAGUAUGAAGGAAGUUCAUUUCCCUCUUGUCUUCAGACCUCACAAAGCAAACAGGUAAUGAAAGAGGCUGUCCUGAUGGUAGUCCUGCUGGGGAUCCCCAGCUCAGCCCUUGGAGGAACACUGGGCCCAUGCUGCACAUCACUUGUUUUCCAGAUGAACCCCUCAUAAAUGUGUUGAAAAAAUGUUUCUAGCUCUGACCCCUUGCUGCCCUCUGACAUGGGGCUCCCUGGGUGGACCCUGUCCUUAGCACAUUGCUUGGCAUGCCUGGGGCUGUUCGUGGUCUCCAUUACAGCACACAUCUGGGCCUGUCAUGGCCACACUUUGAGGAAUGGUGCCCAUCAGUGAGGGAACUCUGCAUCAUGCUCACCCUUGGCUGUUAUCUCCCCACCUCUUUAGGGAGCAGACGCACACAGAUAAAGCUUUUUUUUCAGAUGAGUAGUAUGUAUUUAAUUGUAUGCUGCCAGACAGAGUUCCUUGAUGCCAAGCUUCUUCCUAAAACAAAUUUUACAGUGGAAUUAAAACACACAUUUUGCUGUUUCAGAAUACCUUUAUCAUAAAGUGCAUGCAGACUCUAAAGUUGAGAAGGUCUUGUUUGGGAGAGAUUGUCAUUGAUGUAUUGUGAAAGUUUCUUUGUGUAAACCAUCCUUUCAAUAAAGAGAUUUUCUUCU
rnacentral:lncRNA from 7 species